CUAAACAACGUACACUGCAAUACCUCGUGACCCAUGCGACACACACACGCACGCGCACUCACACACACACGCACACAUUCCCUACUGACACCUACAUCUAUUUUUAAUCCAAAUCGUGCUUCAGUCGGAAUAAAUAUCUAAAUCAUACCAGAAACGGAACCGGUCAUUGCGAUGACAUUGCGACAUCGUGAAAAGACAUCGGAAGAAAAGGAGACAUCCACCCACAGUCUCGAUCCAGUCACGACAUCUCUUCACUCGCUAGUCGGAAAGUCCGAGCAGUGCAUCUGUUCCUUUGUCGAGGAUUUAUUUCAGUGAACCUCAGACAACUUCUGCAAAACUAGUUUGGCUGAAUGAUGCCAGUUCUGUAUACCUUCAACUGAGCUGUAUCUUUGUAACAAGUCUCGUGCUCGUAACACUAAUGACGAUGCCAGUCAACCUAUCUGAUGCCGAUGUAACAGCACCGUGGAACAUCAGCAGUGACACAUCAAGCGAUGAGCAGGGAUGGGAUGAGCUCAGCUCACUCCUUUUUCUGCGCCUGCUUCCCACCAUCUUCUUCGUCGCCCUGCAGAUCGCGGUCGGCCUUCCCGGCAACCUCCUUGUUUUCUCGUGUACUUCCGGCAGUUCCGGCCCAGUUCCACGCGGGUGUUCAUCCUGGCCAUGGCCGUCUGUGACCUGCUGACCAACGCUGUUGUCCUGCCUCUUCACAUCGUGUCCUUGCGGUUCCAGCACAACUCCUUGAGCGCCAGAGUUCUGCAGGUUCGUCAACAUGACCGUUACUUUCCCGAUCAUCAUGUCCGCCUGGAUUCUCGUCUGCGUGUCGCUGGACCGCCGGAGACGAAUCUGUCAGCCUCACAAGAAGCAGAUGAGCGCCAAGCAGGCCACGUGGCUUUUGUUUUUCCUUUUGGAUUGGCGUGUCUGGUCACCCUUCCUUUAACGGCAUUUUACGGCGAUAAGUAUUUUGAUAUCAAGAGUGGUUUGGCUGGAAGAACAUGUGGGUUUAAGGGAGACAUCAGAAGAAUUUACGGUGUCAUUAUUAUUGUAUCCUUGGCUGUGGGGCUGGCUCUAAUGGCGUUUGCCUACGUCAGCAUCGCACUGUGUAUAUACCAGCAGCAGAAAGCGAAGGGAGAGUAAUUUUUCUAGUGUGGCAGUACGUUUUCACGAAGAUUCUCAGCUUCCCUCGACGAUGCUUGAUGAUGAACGCCCUUCCGAGUUUGGCGUGAAAGUGGAAGUGGACAACAAGAUCCAGGACAAUGGCUCCAACGUGAAACCUUGCAUCAAAGAAGUGGAAAGACUUCCUAUCUUCAUCAUAGAUACUGCACCAAUGGAAGUUUCUAGAGACCUGUUGCAGACAAACCUGAUAUUACCAAGCCCAGACCACGCAAUAUUCUCUGAUGCCUCAAAUUCUGCCGCUGAUCCUAAAGAUACCUUUCUCAAGCAAAGCCAAUAACAAAGCCAUCAAGUACUCUUGCUCUUGAUGGAAGCGCUCUGGAAAAACAUGAAAAGGUCUUUAAGGCAUCGAUAAUUCUAAACUCUACCUCCUUGUCAGCUAACCCUCAAGUGUCUGAUGAUGCUUUACAAGGGCCGUGUGACAGUAAACACUACCUGUCACCCAGAGGAAGCAUUGCCGGUGGCUCUGAUGUCAGUUCUAAGAGGAGCUCGGCGCCAGCAGGUGGCACUGGCGACACGCAAUCUCGUCAUCUGAGGAACCUGCGGAGACGAUGUUCGAGGACGACAGUCAUGAUGUUCGUGCUGACUUGACCAUCAUCAUCUGCUUCUGUCCCUUCGCCAUCGCCACGACUCUCGACGACAAAUGUGUCAGCCUCCAAAUCCGGUCAUGGGCACUGAACCUAUGCGGUAUCUGCCGUUACUUCCCCUGUCUCAUCAGUGUCAUCAACCCUUUCGUCUACAGCUUCUGCAACUCCAACUUCCGACUGCAAUGUCGUCGGCUUCUGGUGAAAAUGUACGGAUACUGUCGCUCCAUUUCGUUCACUCGCUGAAGACCAUUUCUGGACUCAACUCUUUAAUUCAAGAUGGUUCUACCAUUUCGCUGGACAUGAAGUUGAUAAUUUGUCACAUCAUCAACUAGUAGGAAACAUCUACCGAGAAUAAAUGUUGACGUAUGUUAAACAUUUGUCUUCUAAAUACAUCAAUCACACCAAGAUGGACAAUAAUGUUUGACCAAAGAAACAUUACGUAUGUCAGUAAUAACACAACCAUAAAUGUAAUACAUUGAUGCAAGGAUUACUGCGAAUUAUUUUGAGAAUAAUGAAAUAAGUAAAUGGUUUUGUAGAUUGCUGUACGUGUGUGUGUGUGUGUCUCUUUAGGAAAGUGUGGGUUUGAAGAGGCUGUCGUUGCAACAUUCAAGAGCGUGGGACAGGAAAGAGAAGCUUAAGACAGUGAGCCUCGUACUUCAUAUAAAUUCGUCAACAGUACUUAAAGUUUGCAGCUAAAGGUUUCCAGAAAGGCCAAAAGGUAUAGAUGCCACCACUUAUUUAGGAUGUCACAUGACAGUUUGUCGUUGCAACACUCUAUCUUGAGAACUGAGAACUGCAAAGCUGGCAUGAUGGUCAAAUUUUCCGGGCUUCCCGGGGUUCGUCUGUGUCAUACGCAUCUGAUCUUUGGCUGAAACAACAGAUUUUUCCAAAAAAUGUAAUUGAAAGAUAAUGAAAAUGACAAUGCUGGAUAAAUGACAGUUUAAUUGCUAUUUGUGGAGAAGUUAAUAGUGGGAGAGUUAACAAGAGGAAUAUCAUCAAUCAGCCCUCAAAUACAUUUAGAAAACCUUGCCAAGUGUUUUACUGUCUAGCAAACCACUUCACAACCUCCUAGCAUGUAUGGCAGCGAUAACAAAUCACAAUAUUC